AGUCUGAAGGGAGCCAGGGGUGGGUAUGGUGCUUGGGUGGUGUUUGUGGUGGAGGAUGCGGUGUAUCAACCCUUUCUGUGCUCUUUGAGCCUUUAAAAGCACCUUUUUGGGGGGCUGCGCUCAUCCUCCCCGGACAGACGGAUGGACAGCGGGGCCAUGUGCUCUUUGCUCCUUCGCAGGCACCCUCCUCGCUGCCUGUGACAGCCAUGCGGAGCAAGGGGUGCUGCAGCGGACGGUGAUGGAGUACCCGCAGCUGGAACGCUGUGAAAUGCGCUUGUGUGUUUCUAUGUGCAAUAAAACGUGGAUUACUUGAAAGCC